rnacentral:other from 1 species
AGCGUACUGGAGUGUUCGCCAGUAAAGUGUAUAUCCCGAGCCGAUACGCAUAUUUUAGGAUAAUAUUUCUACCAUUUUGUUUGAGUAUGCCUGCGCCUUUGGUGUUUUCAGGAAACCAGAACGACUGGUGAUGUUAUCCGCCUUGGACUUUACGGUUCAUGGUUUCCCUUUACAGCGACACUUUGGUACUCAA